AACGAACGCUGGCGGCGUGGAUUAGGCAUGCAAGUCGAACGCGAAAGAGGGGGCAACCCCUUGAGUAGAGUGGCGAACGGGUGAGUAACGCGUGAGAAACCUGCCUUCGACAGGGGGAUAACACUCCUAACGGGGUGCUAAUACCGCAUGAGACCACGGAGUCGCAUGGCUCCGAGGUCAAAGGUGGCCUCUAUUUAUAAGCUACCGGUCGAAGAUGGUCUCGCGUCCCAUUAGCUAGUUGGCGGUGUAAAGGACCACCAAGGCGACGAUGGGUAGCUGGUCUGAGAGGAUGGUCAGCCACACUGGGACUGAGAUACGGCCCAGACUCCUACGGGAGGCAGCAGUCGAGAGGCUUCGGCAAUGGGGGAAACCCUGACCGAGCGACGCCGCGUGAGGGAUGAAGGCCCUUGGGUUGUAAACCUCUUUUGUUCGGGAAGAAGUGCGAUCAGGUGAACAAUCUGGUCGUUUGACGGUACCGGACGAAUAAGCUCCGGCUAACUCCGUGCCAGCAGCCG
rnacentral:rRNA from 1 species